rnacentral:rRNA from 1 species
UACGUAGGUGGCAAGCGUUGUCCGGAUUUAUUGGGUUUAAAGGGCGCGUAGGCGGCGCGGUAAGUCACUUGUGAAAUCUCUGAGCUUAACUCAGAACGGCCAAGUGAUACUGCAGUGCUAGAGUGUGGAAGGGGCAAUCGGAAUUCUUGGUGUAGCGGUGAAAUGCGUAGAUAUCAAGAGGAACACCUGAGGUGAAGACGGGUUGCUGGGCCAACACUGACGCUGAUGCGCGAAAGCCAGGGGAGCAAACGGG